CCAAGGAGAGAGAGCUCGAGUCCCUCAACAGACGAACACAAACACCAAGGAGAAAGAGCUCGAGUCCCUCAACAGACGAACACAAACACCAAGGAGAGAGAGCUCGAGUUCAGAUGAACACAAACACCAAGGAGAAAGAGCUCGAGUUCAGAUGAACACAAACACCAAGGAGAGAGAGCUCGAGUUCAGAGCUCGAGUUCAUUUGAACACAAACACCAAAGAGAGAGAGCUCGAGUUCAUCAACAGACGAACACAAACACCAAGGAGAAAGAGCUCGAGUCCAGAUGAAUACAGAUACCAAGGAGAGAGAGCUCGAGUUCAGAUGAACACAAACACCAAGGAGAGAGAGCUCGAGUUCAGAUGAACACAAACACCAGGGAGAAAGACCUCAAGUUCAGAUGAACACAAACACCAACGAGAGAGAACUCGAGUUUAGAUGAACACAAACACCAAGGAGAAAAGAGUUCGAGUUGAGAUGAACACAAACACCAAGGAGAGAGAGCUCGAGUUCAGAUGAACACCAACACCAAGGAGAGAGAGCUCGAGUUCAUCAACAGACGAACAUAAACACUAAGGAGAAAGAGCUCGAGUUCAUCAACAGACGAACACAUACACCAAGGAGAGAGAGCUUUCCCAGAUCUUUAUCUUGGGGUGGACAGCCCCAGCUACAAAUCGUCCUGCCUUCGAGUUUCUCUAUUACUUCAUUUUUCCUUGGCGGCUCUCCAAGUCCCCGUUGCCUAAGGAAAACCAGAGAAGUUACAGUUCUAAGCAUCAUUUCAGUCAGUCUCUGUAGUUCGGCUGACAAGCUGGUGCGGGAUACAUAAGGGUCAAGACAAGGGCAGAGUCUCAUCCCCGGCGUGGAAGACAAGGCAGAACAGAGUGGGCAAGAAAAAGCUUCGUCAGAAGUCUAUGUGCCCAGGAAGGAGAGCUUUCAUCUGUAUUCAUGACCCCUAGAUUCAAGGACUUCUUCGGGAUCCUAGAAACGCCUGAUGCAGCUGCAGCCUCGAACCGCUUCCCGGCUUGCGAUGAUUGUCCCGGGCUGCAGCGGCACGUGUGGAGUCUAGCUGCUGAGACAACUGGACUGCAAGAAAUAUAACUCAACGGAGCAGCACCAGGUGGGCGUCUCUGGCAGGAGCAAUGUCUGAGCUAAAGGCUUCGAGCAAGAAGGGCGGUCGCCAAGGAGCCAAGAGGAGCUUCGGCCUGGCCUGUGCUGGUGUGUGGAGCUAGCGAGCCCACUAGCCGGUACCGGGGCGGGCAGGACUCUUGUGCUUGCCUCGGCUGGCUUAUCAGCAGGAGGAAAGCCAGAGCUUGGCAGAGGCAGAUGCGGAGGGACUCGGAAGUGGUUGAUAAAGUGGUGAACAUAC